UAAUACGUAGGCGGCAAGCGUUGUCCGGAAUUAUUGGGCGUAAAGGGAGCGCAGGCGGGAAACUAAGCGGAUCUUAAAAGUGCGGGGCUCAACCCCGUGAUGGGGUCCGAACUGGUUUUCUUGAGUGCAGGAGAGGAAAGCGGAAUUCCCAGUGUAGCGGUGAAAUGCGUAGAUAUUGGGAAGAACACCAGUGGCGAAGGCGGCUUUCUGGACUGUAACUGACGCUGAGGCUCGAAAGCUAGGGUAGCGAACGGGAUUAGAUACCCCGGUAGUCCUAGCCGUAAACGAUGGAUACUAGGUGUGGGAGGUAUCGACCCCUUCCGUGCCGGAGUUAACGCAAUAAGUAUCCCGCCUGGGGAGUACGGCCGCAAGGUUGAA
rnacentral:rRNA from 1 species